GAUGAACGCUGGCGGCGUGCCUAAUACAUGCAAGUCGAGCGAACAGACGAGGAGCUUGCUCCUCUGACGUUAGCGGCGGACGGGUGAGUAACACGUGGAUAACCUACCUAUAAGACUGGGAUAACUUCGGGAAACCGGAGCUAAUACCGGAUAAUAUAUUGAACCGCAUGGUUCAAUAGUGAAAGACGGUUUUGCUGUCACUUAUAGAUGGAUCCGCGCCGCAUUAGCUAGUUGGUAAGGUAACGGCUUACCAAGGCAACGAUGCGUAGCCGACCUGAGAGGGUGAUAGGCCACACUGGAACUGAGACACGGUCCAGACUCCUACGGGAAGCAGCAGUAGGGAAUCUUCCGCAAUGGGCGAAAGCCUGACGGAGCAACGCCGCGUGAGUGAUGAAGGUCUUCGGAUCGUAAAACUCUGUUAUUAGGGAAGAACAAAUGUGUAAGUAACUAUGCACGUCUUGACGGUACCUAAUCAGAAAGCCACGGCUAACUACGUG
rnacentral:rRNA from 1 species